AAGAUUAAACCAGAACAAGAGUGAACAAGAUGGAUCUGAAAGUGAACUUAGCUCGAGUGGAGAUGAAACGCCGCGGCAAUUUUUUUGUCAUGGUACAGAUGGAAGAAUUAACUUUCCCGGAAAAAGAGAAAAGGACCA
rnacentral:ribozyme from 1 species